rfam:Schistosoma curassoni strain Dakar, Senegal genome assembly, scaffold: SCTD_scaffold0002965
UCUGUAUCCGUGGUGAGAUUUCGUCACACACCAGGCCACAAAGACUUAUGAGACUCCCAAGAUAAGUG